rnacentral:rRNA from 1 species
GAUGAACGCUGGCGGCGUGCCUAAUACAUGCAAGUCGAACGCAUAGCGAAAGGUGCUUGCACCUUUCAAGUGAGUGGCGAACGGGUGAGUAACACGUGGACAACCUGCCUCAAGGCUGGGGAUAACAUUUGGAAACAGAUGCUAAUACCGAAUAAAACUUAGUGUCGCAUGACACAAAGUUAAAAGGCGCUUCGGCGUCACCUAGAGAUGGAUCCGCGGUGCAUUAGUUAGUUGGUGGGGUAAAGGCCUACCAAGACAAUGAUGCAUAGCCGAGUUGAGAGGACUGAUCGCCCAAAUGGGACGGGAACCACGCCCAAACCCCAGCGGGGAGGCGGAAGGGGGGAUUCUACAACAGGGGGGAAAAGCUUGAGGGACAAACCCGGGGGGGGGGAGAAGGGUUUUGGGGUCUAAAAGACGUUUUUUAGGGAAAAAAAAGUUAGAAUAGGAAAUGUUUUUGGUUGGAGGGUACCAAACAAGAAAGGGACGGCAAAAUAGGUC